AAAGUAGCCUAUGCCACUGCCAUGGACUGGUUUAUAGCAGUGUGUUAUGCAUUU
rfam:Rana catesbeiana gamma-aminobutyric acid A receptor alpha 1 subunit (GABRA1) mRNA, partial cds.